rnacentral:rRNA from 1 species
UGUCUAAGUAUAAGCAAUUAUACGGCGAAACUGCGAAUGGCUCAUUAAAUCAGUUAUCGUUUACUUGAUAGACCCAUACUACUUGGAUAACCGUGGUAAUUCUAGAGCUAAUACAUGCGAAAAACCGCGACUUCGGAAGCGGUGUAUUUAUUAGAUUAAAGACCAAUGCCCUUCGGGGCUGACUGGUGAUUCAUGAUAACUUCACGAAUCGCACGGCCUUGCGCCGGCGAUGGCUCAUUCAAAUUUCUGCCCUAUCAACUUUCGACUUUAGUGUAGUGGACUAAAGUGGUUGCAACGGGUAACGGAGGGUUAGGGCUCGACCCCGGAGAAGGAGCCUGAGAGACGGCUACUACAUCCAAGGAAGGCAGCAGGCGCGCAAAUUACCCAAUCCCGACUCGGGGAGGUAGUGACAAUAAAUACUGAUACAGGGCUCUUUUGGGUCUUGUAAUUGGAAUGAGUACAAUUUAAAUCUCUUAACGAGGAACAAUUGGAGGGCAAGUCUGGUGGACAAAUCCAGUCCCGUGCUGGCGCCAGCAAGAGCGGGGGGCCCCUGCGGGCCUUCUUUCCCGCUAGUCGAGCACCCGUUCCAUGACGGGAGGGUGCCGGCGAGACAACCUGGAUCGGGGGAGGCUAAGAGGCGCCGCCAGGCGUCUUACGUUGAUCCCGAGCAGAGCACCCGAGGAGCGAUCUUCGGGCUGCCUGUGUAGAGCGCGCAAAGGUGUCGGUCGCUCUCCCCCUCGGGGGAGGCGGCUUAAGGGACGUGCCAUCCGCCUCGAAAGAGGAUUUCCUAUCUCCAGCGCCCGUCACGCUAAGGAUAGGAAGCUGCCGGCUUGCACCGGCAGUGGGAGAUCAAUACGGCCAGCAGCCGCGGUAAUUCCAGCUCCAAUAGCGUAUAUYARAGUUGUUGUGGUUAAAAAGCUCGUAGUUGAACCUGGGCCUCGCGCAGACCGGUCCGCCUCACCGCGUGCACUGGUCCUGCCGGGGCUUUCACUAGGGGAUUCGCAUGUCCUUCACUGGGCGUGUGCGGAACCUGGACUUUUACUGUGAAAAAAUUAGAGUGUUCAAAGCAGGCCUAUGCUCGAAUACAUUAGCAUGGAAUAAUAGAAUAGGACGUGUGGUUCUAUUUUGUUGGUUAUGGGACCGCCGUAAUGAUUAAUAGGGACAGUCGGGGGCAUCAGUAUUCAAUAGUCAGAGGUGAAAUUCUUGGAUUUAUUGAAGACUAACUACUGCGAAAGCAUUUGCCAAGGAUGUUUUCAUUAAUCAGGAACGAAAGUUAGGGGAUCGAAGACGAUCAGAUACCGUCGUAGUCUUAACCAUAAACUAUGCCGACUAGGGAUCGGGCGAUGUUACUUUUUGACUCGCUCGGCACCUUACGAGAAAUCAAAGUCUGUGGGUUCCUGGGGGAGUAUGGUGGCAACGCU